rnacentral:rRNA from 1 species
GACGAACGCUGGCGGCGUGCUUAACACAUGCAAGUCGAACGGAAAGGCCCUGCUUUUGUGGGGUGCUCGAGUGGCGAACGGGUGAGUAACACGUGAGUAACCUGCCCUUGACUUUGGGAUAACUUCAGGAAACUGGGGCUAAUACCGGAUAGGAGCUCCUGCUGCAUGGUGGGGGUUGGAAAGUUUCGGCGGUUGGGGAUGGACUCGCGGCUUAUCAGCUUGUUGGUGGGGUAGGUGCUUACCAAGGCUUUGACGGGUAGCCGGCCUGAGAGGGUGACCGGCGACAUUGGGACUGAGAUACGGCCCAGACUCCUACGGGAGGCAGCAGUGGGGAAUAUUGCACAGUGGGCGGAAGCCUGAUGCAGCAACGCCGCGUGCGGGAUGACGGCCUUCGGGUUGUAAACCGCUUUCGCCUGUGACGAAGCGUGAGUGACGGUAAUGGGUAAAGAAGCACCGGCUAACUACGUG